CCUACGGGAGGCAGCAGUAGGGAAUAUUGCUCAAUGGGGGAAACCCUGAAGCAGCAACGCCGCGUGGAGGAUGAAGGUUUUCGGAUUGUAAACUCCUUUUGUUAGAGAAGAUAAUGACGGUAUCUAACGAAUAAGCACCGGCUAACUCCGGGACAGCAGCCGCGGUAAUACGGAGGGUGCAAGCGUUACUCGGAAUCACUGGGCGUAAAGAGCGCGUAGGCGGGAUAGCAAGUCAGAUGUGAAAUCCUAUGGCUUAACCAUAGAACUGCAUUUGAAACUGUUAUUCUAGAGUAUGGGAGAGGUAGGUGGAAUUCGUGGUGUAGGGGUAAAAUGCGUAGAGAUCAAGAGGAAGACUCAUUGCGAAGGCGACCUGCUAGAACAUAACUGACGCUGAUGCGCGAAAGCGUGGGGAGCAAACAGGAUUAGAUACCCUUGUAGUC
rnacentral:rRNA from 1 species